GUUAGUGCCCACCGGAGCAUAACAAAUUGUCAUUAUGUUAUUCUGCCGAGUCUAAUUUAAUUGGCAAGUUGUCACAAAAGCAAUUAUCCGUCAUUUAUUUUGUUGCCAUAACCACGUCUUAGCGAGCACCUGCUGUCGGUGCCGAGGGGGAAAGAUGGCUCCCCGAGUCCCCUCGGCUCUUUCCUCUUUCUCCGGCACGAAAGGCAUCGGCUUCCUUGUCUGCUUGAAAGAUAGGAAACGGGGAGCAGAAAAUAGGAAACAGUGAGGAGGAAAUACAAAUAGAGAGGAGGAAACAGGAAACUGUGUGUGAGAGUCACAAAAGGUGUGAGGAGAACACAGGAACUUGUGAGGAGGAAAUAGGAAGAAACAGGAAAUAAUGAGGAAAUAAAUAGUGAGGAGGAAAUAGGAAACUGCAUGCGAGGGUCACAAAAUGGGAGGUUCAAAAAUAGGAAGUUGGGAGGAGGAAACAGGAAGUGGUGAGGAAAUAGGAAGAAACAGGAAAUAAUGAGGAAAUAAAUAGUAGGAGGAAAUAGGAAGAAACAGGAAAUAAUGAGGAAAUAAAUAGUGAGGAGGAAAUAGGAAACUGCAUGCGAGGGUCACAAAAUGGGAGGUUCAAAAAUAGGAAGUUGGGAGGAGGAAACAGGAAGUGGUGAGGAAAUAGGAAGAAACAGGAAAUAAUGAGGAAAUAAAUAGUAGGAGGAAAUAGGAAGAAACAGGAAAUAAUGAGGAAAUAAAUAGUGAGGAGGAAAUAGGAAACUGCAUGCGAGGGUCACAAAAUGGGAGGUUCAAAAAUAGGAAGUUGGGAGGAGGAAACAGGAAGUGGUGAGGAGGAAAUAGGAAGAAACAGGAAAUAGAGGAAAUAAAUAGUGAGGAGGAAGAAAUAGGAAGAAACAGGAAAUAAUGAGGAAAUAAAUAGUGAGGAGGAAAUAGGAAACUGCAUGCGAGAGUCAUAAAAUGGGUGGUUCAAAGAUAGGAAGUUGUGAGGAGAAAACAGGAAGUGGUAAGAAGGAAAUAGGAAACAAAGUCACAAAAUAGGAACUUGUGAAGAGGAAAUAGGACAGAACAGGAAAUAAUGAGGAAAUAAAUAAUGAGGAGGAAAUAGGAAGAAACAGGAAAUAAUGAGGAAAUAAAUAGUGAGGAGGAAAUAGGAAACUGCAUGUGAGAGUCACAAAAUGGGAGACUCAAAAAUAGGAAGUUGGAAGGAGAAAACAGGAAGUGGUGAGGAAAUAGGAAGCAAAGUCACAAAACAAGAACUUGUGAGGAGGAAAUAGGACAGAACAGGAAAAAUAUGAGGAAAUAAAUAGUGAGGAGGAAAUAGGAAACUGCAUGCGAGAGUCACAAAAUGGGAGGUUCAAAAUAGGAAGUGAGGAGAAAACGAGAAGUUGCAAGAGGGAAAUAGGACAAAACAGGAAAUAAUGAGGAAAUAGUGAGGAGGAAAUAGGAAACUGCAUGCGAGAGUCACAAAAUGGGAGGUUAAAAUAGGAAGUUGUGAGGAGAAAACAGGAAGUGGUGAGGAGGAAAUAGGAAACAAAGUCACAAAACAAGAACUUGUGAGGAGGAAAUAGGACAGAACAUGAAAUAAUGAGGAAAUAAAUAGGAGCAAAUAACUGCAUGAGAGAGUCACAAAAUGGGAGGCUCAAAAAUAGGAAGUUGUGAGGAGAAAACAGGAAGUGGUGCGAAGGAAAUAGGAAACAAAGGCACAAAAUAGGAACUUGUGAGGAGGAAAUAGGACAGAACAGGAAAUAAUGAGAAAAUAAAGAGGAGCAAAUAGUUAACUGCAUGCAAGAGUCACGAAAUGGGAGGUUAAAAAUAGGAAGUUGUGAGGAGAAAAUGAGAAGUUGCAAGGAGGAAAUAGGACAAAGCAGGAAAUAAUGAGGAAAUAAAUAGUGAGGAGGAAAUAGGAAACUGCAUGCGAGUCACAAAAUGGGAGGUUCAAAAAUAGGAAGUUGUGAGGAGAAAAUGAGAAGUUGCGAGGAGGAAAUAGGACAAAGCAGGAAAUAUUGAGGAAAUAAAUAGGAGGAAAUAGGAAACUGCAUGAGAGUCACAAAAUGGGAGGUUCAAAAAUAGGAAGUUGUGAGGAGAAAACAGGAAGUGGUGAGAAGAAAAUAGAAAACAAAGUCACAAAAUAGGAACUUGUGAGGAGGAAAUAGGACAGAACAGGAAAUAAUGAGAAAAUAAAUAGGAGCAAAUCGUUAACUGCAUGAGAGAGUCACAAAAUGGGAGGUUAAAAAUAGGAAGUUGUGAGGAGAAAAUGAGAAGUUGCAAGGAGGAAAUAGGACAAAACAGGAAAUAGUGAGGAAAUAGGAAACUGCAUGCGAGAGUCAGAAAAGGGAGGUUAAAAUAGGAAGUUGUGAGGAGGAAACAGGAAGUUGUGAGGAGGAAAUAGGUCAAAGCAGGAAAUAAUGAGGAAAUAAAUAAGGAGGAAAUAGGAAACAGCAUGCGAGAGUCACAAAACAGGUGGUUAAAAUAGGAAGUGAGGAGAAAACAGGAAGUUGUGAGGAGGAAAUAGGAAACUGGAUUGCACGUAAGAGUAACAUAAAGGAGGUUAAAAAUAGGAAAAAGGGGUAAAUGGGAAAUAGUGAGGGGGAAACAGGAAAUGAGGAAAUAGUGAGGAAAUAAGAAACUGCAUGCAAGAGUCACAAAAUGGGAGGUCCAAAUGGGAGGAAAUAGGAAAUAAUGAGGAGGAAAUAGGAAAUAAUGAGGAGGAAAUAGGAAACAUAAACAGGCCGGCAAAAGCUUGGAUAAGCGAAUAUCUUGGAUAACAAGGAAAGAUUAAGGAAAAGCCUAUUAAAUAUCAAAUUAGGUUACGAUUUUACAAAUGAGGCACCAAAACAUCAUGUUAGACAACAAAUUUGACAGAAAAGGUCGUUCAUUACACAUUAAUGCUAUGUAGAAAUUACUGUAUUUACGAAUUUGGCACCAAAAUAUCAUGAUAUAUUGAAAACAUGGACUACAAAAAUGCGUUGGAUAAUCCAGAACGUUGGAUAAGAGAGGCUUGGAUAAGUGAGACUCUACUGUAGAAGUAAAUAGGAAACUGAACUGUUUACAAAAUGGAGGUUACAAAAUGAAGGUUCAAAAUCGAGGUUACAAAAUGAAGGUUCAAAAUGGAGGUUACAAAAUGGAGGUUACAAAAUGGAGGUUCAAAAUGGAGGUUACAAAAUGGAGGUUACAAAAUGAAGGUUCAAAAUGGAGGUUACAAAAUGAAGGUUCAAAAUGGAGGUUACAAAAUGGAGGUUACAAAAUGGAGGUUCAAAAUGGAGGUUACAAAAUGGAGGUUACAAAAUGAAGGUUCAAAAUGGAGGUUACAAAAUGAAGGUUCAAAAUGGAGGUUACAAAAUGGAGGUUACAAAAUGGAGGUUCAAAAUGGAGGUUACAAAAUGGAGGUUACAAAAUGAAGGUUCAAAAUGGAGGUUACAAAAUGGAGGUUCAAAAAUAAGCUGUGAGGAGAGAGUAGGAAGCUGUGAGGAAAAAUAGGAAUCAGUGAGGAGGAAAUAGGAAACAACUGCAUGGGAGAGUCACUCAUUUUGUUUUGUGACAGGGAAAAUAGGCUUCCUGCUCAUUUUGAAACCAACUCGUUGCUGCCUUGCAGUAACUUUGUAUCCAAUUCCCUUUGAAUGUUUGUAAAUAAAUAGACCUCGCUCCAUUCAGGGACAAACCAAGAUGGCCGCCGCCGCCAUGCCAGGCUCUGAGUGAAAACGUCUGAGGGAAACAAAAUGGACUUCAGAAUUGAAUCAUGGGAUCAUAGCAUUGGAAGGCCAUCUAGUCCAUCCCACAUUCUGUGCAGGAAUCCAAGGCCAGUGGCUCUCCACCAAGCACCUCAAAUAUGAAAACGGCAUUCCAGAUCAAGAAAAUAUUGGAUAAAACAUUACUGCCUUUGACUGAAAAUACCCCAAAUGUGAUCUCAGAUUUCCUGUAAAAUGCACAAGAGAUCCCACCUGCUGGAAGCCUGACCAUACCUCAUGUUGAAUGCAGCAUGCAGGUCAUGUGGUGCUUAAGAUGCACACUGUGCUGAAAAUCCUUAUCUGGAACUAGUUAUGGGAACUCAGCAAAGGUGGAGAUUGCCACAAAAUAGCAGUGAAAUGCAAAGAAAGAUUUGGGCAAAUGUUGACUGGCGUGAGGACUAUGUUGAACUCCUCGCCGUGCUGUGCAAAGGAAGAACUCUUGGGCAAGUUCUGCGUUUCCCACAAUCAAAAAAAGAAGGACAAGAUGCGGCAAGUGAUAUGUGGAUGACAACUUCACCAUAUGGAGCCAUGGAGAAGAACAACUCAACAAGUUCCUGGACCACGUCAACAGCAUCCACCCAAACAUCCAACACAACAUGGAAAAAAAUGAAGGAAAACUGACAUUUCUAGAUGUCCUAGUCAUCUGCAAACCCAGUCAACAGUUGGACCAAAUAGUUUACAGAAAACCUAUACACACAAAUAAAUACCUACAUCAAAACUCCACACACCACUCAAGUCAAAAAAGAAGCACAGUCAAAGCCCUGGCAGACUGUGCAACCUCUGAUAUGGGCGAAACGUCAGGAGAGAAUGCUUCUGGAACAUGGCCGUAAAGUCCGGAAGACUCUUUACAAAAGUAGUUUCAUGUAUCAUCACUACAACGUGCAUAUUGCUGUCCGACGACAAAGAAAGGUCCUCAAAGCAAUUUAGUUUAAACAGACAAACCACGUUAUCAAUUUGAGCAAAGAAACCACUUUAUCACAGAGCAGGCAAGAAGUGAACGGUGCUUUAGGAAGACACCUUACUUCCAAAAUGAAAAUUGAGCAAGCAAGGUCUGCAUUCCCGUACGGAAAAUGUGACUGAAUUAGGAUUGCUAAAGGCAAGAGUGAAAGAGAUGGAGAGGCAAAACAGAGCCAUGGUAUAAUCACCAUGAAUAUAAAUACUGUAAAUAAAAUAAAUGAAGGUCAGUCCUGGAUUAAUACACCCAUUGGUACUAGUUUUAGGUCUAUGUGCUCCUCACCUAAUGCCAGGCGAGGCUGGCAUGGAGAGGAGGUGGUGAAAUAACAAAAUAAUCCCUUGUGCCCAUGUAUUCAACUACCACUGGUGUGCCUGACAUUGAAAGCAGGUUAAAACAGGGCUGGCCAAAGGGUCAUUGUGAAGCUCAAGCCUCCUUACUCCAACACACCAAGCUCCUCCAGAUCCCACAGACACUGAAAAUUCCCAAAACCCGCUGGAUCAAAAAUAAAUAAAUAACUCAGCUGCCACUUGAAUUCAGCUUCUGGCUCAGAAAGCUUCAACAGGAAGCCAGCACUUUCAAAACAACAGCCACGUCUCACCUUCCAAACAAUACUGGAGCAGCUAGCCUUAAUUACAGCUAGCCCACACUCAAGAAUCAGCACAGACUCAGGUUUUUUAAGGCAAAGGGUCCAAAAGACACAGGUUUUUUUUAAGGCUAUCUAUCCAAGAAAAGAGUAGGCAAUCUAAGAAAAGAGUGCACAUUCUCAGGUUUUUAAGGAAAUCUUAGGCAGGCCUUACCUAAAGAGCAAGCUGCUUUCUUGCUUCCUCUCCUCACGUCUGCAUGAACUCAGCUGCCACUUGAAUUCAGCUUCUGGCUCAGAAAGCUUCAACAGGAAGCCAGCACUUUCAAAACAACAGCCACGCCUCACCUUCCAAACAAUACUGGAGCAGCUAGCCUUAAUUACAGCUAGGCCACACUCAAGAAUCAGCACAGACUCAGGCUUUUUAAGGCAAAGGGUCCAAAAGACACAGGUUUUUUAAGGCUAUCUAUCUCAAAGAGGGUUAGGUUAUAAGGUUGCAAUUCCCAUCAUCUGCAAAGCAUGAGAUUUUUCCACUCUGUCUCCUUUGGGAGAGAAGAGGAAGAGGAGAAGGAAUAAUAAUAAUAAUACCCCUCGAUGGGUGUCACCUAAAUGCUUGGGAAGUGGUUGACUUAUGAUUUUGUGAUAAAAAAUCCAGCAUAUAUAUCUCAUUUGCUGCAUAAUAAUAAUAAUAAUAAUAAUAAUAA